GACGCCGAGGACCUACCACCGCGACUUCGCCCCGCCCGGCGCGGGCCCAGGACCCUGAUGUCGCUUUUGAACAGCCCCUGCACCUGGCAGCCAGCGAGCUACUGUAGUAGGCAUUGCCGACUGUUUGCAUACCGGAUGGGAGUGACAGUGUAAUAGAAAAACAAGCAAGAAACCUUUUAGGUAGGACUCCUAAGGCUCAGAGGAAGUAAGUGCUUGCGGAGCGUUCUUUGUACUGUGUCUUUUCCUCUACCACAUCUCUGUCCCCGCCUCUCUUGGGUGCUUUUUUUGGUCUCUGAAAGGAUCUGUGAAUAAACUGAGACAGAAAGGCAGAUGGCUUUGAGGGUGGCGAGCAGACCUUCUUCGUGGAAAGACUGAAGGUUCAACUCAAAUUCAUCUUGUAGAAAUUCUUGGUGAAUUCGAGGCUGCUGAUUUGGAAGAUUUUCCUCCAUCCCUCUAACCCUACAAAACAAACAAGUCCCAGGAUCCCUGAAUCAUGGGGCUUCAUGUUCCAACCCCCCUUUCAAGAGUCCUCUGACCCAGUGACCCUGUGUAAGUUGCCUGAUCAGCUCACAGCCAGAAAGUGGCCCAUGAGGAGCUAGGGGGAGCCUCUUGGCAGAGGCAGAAAGAAAGUGUGGCUGACCAAGGAUGGUUACCGGAUGUCAACUGUAGCUAGGAAGUGACGACA
rnacentral:lncRNA from 1 species